AUGCCUUCCUCCUCCGCCGCCGUCUCAGGCCACGGCGUCGCCACUGCCACCGUGCCGUCGAGGGACACGGCUGUCGAGGGCUUCGCCUCGUCCCUGCGCACGCAGGACGAGGUGGACGCACUCUGCGACAAGUACGGCGUACCCAAGGAUCAGUACACCGCGCGACCCGCCGGCGACCUGCGCGCGAACUCGACGCCGCCACCGGGGUCCAUCUGCGUCUACGCGCGCGCUCUGGAGGCAGGGUUGCGCUUCCCGCUGCACGGCUUCUUCCGCGAGGCGCUCGCCCACUUCGGCAUCGCGCCGGCCCAGCUCACGCCCAACGGGUGGCGCGUCAUGGAGGGGUUCCUGGCGAUCUGCCACUCCGCCGGCGUGCCUCCGUCGCUCGCCGUAUUCCUGCGCUUCUUCUACCUGUCCGGCAUCGACCGGAAGCACAAGAAAGGGUGGUACUGUCUCGGGCCCAUACGCGACAGCUCCUGCUUGCGCUUCACGGGGAUGCCGAACCGGGGGUCCAAAUCCAUCAUGGGCUGGAAAUACGACUUCUUCUUCCUCUCGUCGCCGGAGCCGUGGCAUUGCGCGGUGGAGUGGGGUCAGCCGUCCAAGGGCUCCUUCACAAACCCGGCGCUCACCGUUGAGGAAAGCAAAUCGAUGGUGAAGCUGCUAAGUGCCCACAUUGGCGCCGCUGUUGAUCUUAGGAACCUGCUCCCUGCUACGUGCCCACAACGCCGGCGCCGGCGCCGUCUCCGCAACAGCUACCCCGCCGUCUCUGCCGCCGUGAUAACCACAGGAUCCCCGCGGACCCCGGCGCCGCCGCCGCCUUCUUCAACUCGUACUACAUCCUGUUCCAUAGGUAUGGAUCCCUCUGUCUACGACAUGAUGAAGGUUCUGCUGGCGGAGAAGGCGGCCGCGCAAGCGUCGGCGUUGGCGAAGAAGAGGACUUGGGAGGAAGCCAACGGCGGGGAGAACGUCGGACACUCGCCACCUCUUUCAGUGCUGUCCAGCGUGCACUCGCCACCGUCACAGCACUUCCCCAGCAGGCACGACGGACACACGGAGCUGCUGCAGGGAGCCGUCGCGCAGCAGCUGGAGCGCGCGUUCGCGGCGAACGAGCCUUCCGACGACUCAGCGUUCCGGCAGGUGGAGGAGAAGCUGGUGGCCAGGGAGCGAGAGGCCGCCGCGCUGCGGGAGCAGCUGGAGGAGGCGAAGAAUGAGCUCGCCGCGGCAAAGAGAGCGCCGGACGCGGAGCGGGAGAAGGCCACAUCUGAGCUCGCCGCGGUGCGAACGGAGCUGGAGACGACCAAAGCCGAGCUCACGGCGGUGGAGGGGGAGGUGGUGAAGACGAAGGCCGAGCUCUCCGCGUCUCUGGCGGAGGCGGUGAAGACGAAGGCCGAGCUCGCCGCGGCUCGGGCGGACGCGGUGAAGACGAAAGCCGAGCUCGCGGCGGCUCGGGCGGAGGCGGUGAAGACGAAGGCCGAGCUCGCCGCGGCUCGGGAGGAGGUGCUGAAGACGAAUGCCGAGCUCGCCGCUACAAAGCGAUCCAUGGAGGCGGAGUUGGUGCAGGCCAAUGCCGUGCUCACUGCCGCGAAGCGCGCCGCUGAGACUGAGCUGGCGAAGGUGAAGGCCAAGCUUGCCGCCGUGGAGGCGGAGCUGGAUAGCGCCAAGGCGGCAGCGGUUCAGCAGCUCCUAGCCUCCGAGGAGCAUGUGCGGCAGCGCGCGGAGGACGCCCUGGAGGGAUACAAGCGCUGGCGAGGUCGUCACGCUCCGGCCGGCCGUGCCGCCUGA
rnacentral:rRNA from 1 species